CAAGACAGCAUUGUGUGGAAGGAGUUGGGUCAUUGGUACCAAGUUAGACAAUAAGUUUGACAGACGGGGACCCAUGGUGCUUCUCUGGAGCGUGGAGAGACAGGAUGUCUGCAGUGGCUACUGCUAUGUUAAUGGAUUCUUCUGGAAAUGUCAAGAUUGAUUAUCCACCCAAGCUGAAAGUGAAUAUGAACAGAGAAUCCGAAAUGAUGAAGACGCUGGGCCGGGCGACUCAGAUCUGGCCACCCCCUUCCAGAAUGGGACGAGAGAACAUUUCUUAAAGCUGCAAAUUGGAUUUGAACACACAAAGGUGGAGGGAGAUCUCGUCAAGAUGGCGGCGUAAGGAGACUCUGAACUCAUCUUCUCCCAUGAACACAACCACGUUACAACUAUUUUUGGAAAAAUUAUCCUGGAUAGAAAACUGAAAACUGGAUAAAAAGAACCCCCACAACAAGGGUCAGUUCUGACUAAGGCAGAAGGGGCAGAAAUUCCUGCUGGAGAGGAAAAAGCCACCUUUGGGAGCAGCGGAGCUUCUCAGCUGGCCAGGCGGGAGUCACCCUAAGGUACCCAGCCCUCCCUGGAGGAGUGAGGUCCGGAGCGGGGAUGAUACUGCUAUAAGCAUCCUUCAGACUCAACCCAACUGAGACGGGGGUCGUACUGUUGAAGAGUUCAAACAAAAAUCUCAUAAGGAUGCUCACAGAUACUGGGAGAAGACUGGAUCAACACAGUGAGCUCAUCAGCAAAGAACUG
rnacentral:lncRNA from 1 species